ensembl:snRNA U4 U4 spliceosomal RNA
AGCUUUGCACAGUAGCAGUACCGUAGCCAAUGAGGUUUAUCCAAGGUGCAAUUAUUGCUAAUUGAAAACUUUCCCAAUACUCCACCAUGACAACGUGAAAUAUAGUCAGCACUGUCAAUUUUUUAAUGGUCUCUACGGAGA